CCUACGGGGGGCACCAGUGGGGAAUAUUGCACAAUGGGCGCAAGCCUGAUGCAGCCAUGCCGCGUGUAUGAAGAAGGCCAUCGGGUUGUAAAGUACUUUCAGCGGGGAGGAAGGCGAUAAGGUUAAUAACCUUGUCGAUUGACGUUACCCGCAGAAGAAGCACCGGCUAACUCCGUGCCAGCAGCCGCGGUAAUACGGAGGGUGCAAGCGUUAAUCGGAAUUACUGGGCGUAAAGCGCACGCAGGCGGUCUGUCAAGUCGGAUGUGAAAUCCCCGGGCUCAACCUGGGAACUGCAUUCGAAACUGGCAGGCUAGAGUCUUGUAGGGGGGGGUAGAAUUCCGGGUGUAGCGGUGAAAUGCGUAGAGAUCUGGAGGAAUACCGGUGGCGAAGGCGGCCCCCUGGACAAAGACUGACGCUCAGGUGCAAAAGCGUGGGGAGCGAACAGGAUUAGAUACCCCUGUAGUC
rnacentral:rRNA from 1 species